rnacentral:rRNA from 1 species
GACGAACGCUGGCGGCGUGCUUAACACAUGCAAGUCGAACGGAAAGGCCCUGCUUUUGUGGGGUGCUCGAGUGGCGAACGGGUGAGUAACACGUGAGUAACCUGCCCUUGACUUUGGGAUAACUUCAGGAAACUGGGGCUAAUACCGGAUAGGAGCUCCUGCUGCAUGGUGGGGGUUGGAAAGUUUCGGCGGUUGGGGAUGGACUCGCGGCUUAUCAGCUUGUUGGUGGGGUAGUGGCUUACCAAGGCUUUGACGGGUAGCCGGCCUGAGAGGGUGACCGGCCACAUUGGGACUGAGAUACGGCCCAGACCCCUACGGGAGGCAGCAGGGGGGAAUAUUGCACAAUGGGCGGAAGCCUGAUGCAGCCACGCCGCGUGCGGGAUGACGGCCUUCGGGUUGUAAACCGCUUUCGCCUGGGACGAAGCGGGGGUGGCGGUAAUGGGGAAAGGAGCACCGGCUAACUACGU